rnacentral:rRNA from 1 species
CCUACGGGAGGCAGCAGUGAGGAAUAUUGGUCAAUGGGCGCGAGCCUGAACCAGCCAAGUCGCGUGAGGGAAGACGGUCCUAUGGAUUGUAAACCUCUUUUGUCGGGGAGCAAAAGACGCCACGCGUGGCGUUCCGAGAGUACCCGAAGAACAAGCAUCGGCUAACUCCGCGCCAGCAGCCGCGGUAAUACGGAGGAUGCGAGCGUGCUCCGGAUUUAUUGGGUUUAAAGGGUGCGCAGGCGGAAGAUCAAGUCAGCGGUAAAAUUGAGAGGCUCAACCUCUUCGAGCCGUUGAAACUGGUGUUCUUGAGUGAGCGAGAAGUAUGCGGAAUGCGUGGUGUAGCGGUGAAAUGCAUAGAUAUCACGCAGAACUCCGAUUGCGAAGGCAGCAUACCGGCGCUCAACUGACGCUCAUGCACGAAAGUGUGGGUAUCGAACAGGAUUAGAUACCCUGGUAGUC